GUACUUGCAAUUUCUAGGUGCGAGUGAAUGGACCUAAUGCAGCUCCGGUGUAUAAGUUCCUUAAAUCAAAUGCAAGUGGAUUUCUUGGUUCUAGAAUAAAAUGGAACUUCACCAAGUUCCUGGUCAACAAGGAAGGGCAAGUCAUCAAGCGCUAUGGUCCAACUACCUGCCCAUUAGCUAUUGAGGCGGACAUAAAGAAAGCAUUGGGAGACGGAUGAAGCACAUGAUUUUGCCAGAACAGAGCUUGAGUAAAAGAUGUGUUAAAAGCGACAAAGUGUGCAAGAGAGUUGUAAUUGCUGCUAGUUUGGUCAAACUCUUGCCUUGUUUUGUUUUGGUGUGGGGAUAUACCAGCUUGUCGCGGAGCUUUCGUACUCCGUGGUGUCUGUAUUAUAUGUAUAUCUCGUCUUGUCAGUCUUGGGAUGAUGAGUAGAAAGGCCUUUGUAUGAUUCUGUUUUCAAUUGAACACUGCGGAAUGGACUUAGGAUUU